GAGCAAGUAGAGUUUCAUGAUCCUCUUUUUCUAUUCAAUGGGGUACUCUUAUGGCAUAUAGAGGUACCACUGUGAGGUCCCAUGAAAAAGAAAGAAAAAAGAGAAAAAUAUACUUUCUUGCAAAACCCUAGGUCUUGAAAUCUUAGGAGUUGUUGUGUGUGAUGCAAGUUACAAAAAAAUUAGUUGCAUCUAAUCUUGAUUAAUCAAUGUUGCCC
rnacentral:lncRNA from 1 species